UCGCUUUGACAGCACAUAUACUAAAAUUGGAAUGAUACAGAGAAGAUUAGUAUGGCCCCUGUGCAAGGAUGACACGCAAAUUCAUGAAGCAUUCCAUAUUUUU
rnacentral:snRNA from 1 species